rnacentral:rRNA from 1 species
GAUGAACGCUGGCCGUUUGCCUAAUACAUGCAAGUCGAGCGAGCGGACGAGAAGCUUGCUUCUCUGAUGUUAGCGGCGGACGGGUGAGUAACACGUGGAUAACCUACCUAUAAGACUGGGAUAACUUCGGGAAACCGGAGCUAAUACCGGAUAAUAUUUUGAACCGCAUGGUUCAAAAGUGAAAGACGGUCUUGCUGUCACUUAUAGAUGGAUCCGCGCUGCAUUAGCUAGUUGGUAAGGUAACGGCUUACCAAGGCAACGAUGCAUAGCCGACCUGAGAGGGUGAUCGGCCACACUGGAACUGAGACACGGUCCAGACUCCUACGGGAGGCAGCAGUAGGGAAUCUUCCGCAAUGGGCGAAAGCCUGACGGAGCAACGCCGCGUGAGUGAUGAAGGUCUUCGGAUCGUAAAACUCUGUUAUUAGGGAAGAACAUAUGUGUAAGUAACUGUGCACAUCUUGACGGUACCUAAUCAGAAAGCCACGGCUAACUACGUGCCAGCAGCCGCGGUAAUACGUAGGUGGCAAGCGUUAUCCGGAAUUAUUGGGCGUAAAGCGCGCGUAGGCGGUUUUUUAAGUCUGAUGUGAAAGCCCACGGCUCAACCGUGGAGGGUCAUUGGAAACUGGAAAACUUGAGUGCAGAAGAGGAAAGUGGAAUUCCAUGUGUAGCGGUGAAAUGCGCAGAGAUAUGGAGGAACACCAGUGGCGAAGGCGACUUUCUGGUCUGUAACUGACGCUGAUGUGCGAAAGCGUGGGGAUCAAACAGGAUUAGAUACCCUGGUAGUCCACGCCGUAAACGAUGAGUGCUAAGUGUUAGGGGGUUUCCGCCCCUUAGUGCUGCAGCUAACGCAUUAAGCACUCCGCCUGGGGAGUACGACCGCAAGGUUGAAACUCAAAGGAAUUGACGGGGACCCGCACAAGCGGUGGAGCAUGUGGUUUAAUUCGAAGCAACGCGAAGAACCUUACCAAAUCUUGACAUCCUUUGACAACUCUAGAGAUAGAGCCUUCCCCUUCGGGGGACAAAGUGACAGGUGGUGCAUGGUUGUCGUCAGCUCGUGUCGUGAGAUGUUGGGUUAAGUCCCGCAACGAGCGCAACCCUUAAGCUUAGUUGCCAUCAUUAAGUUGGGCACUCUAAGUUGACUGCCGGUGACAAACCGGAGGAAGGUGGGGAUGACGUCAAAUCAUCAUGCCCCUUAUGAUUUGGGCUACACACGUGCUACAAUGGACAAUACAAAGGGCAGCGAAACCGCGAGGUCAAGCAAAUCCCAUAAAGUUGUUCUCAGUUCGGGUUGUAGUCUGCAACUCGACUACAUGAAGCUGGAAUCGCUAGUAAUCGUAGAUCAGCAUGCUACGGUGAAUACGUUCCCGGGUCU